CACCUGUGCAGGCUGGGCUGGGUGAGUAUCUCUUCCAAAGGCUCAUCCUCAAGCACGACUAGGAGC
rnacentral:pre_miRNA from 1 species